AAGGUCGUGAAUUAAGCCUUUCAUAUGAUUAGAUCUUAUUUCUAAUCCUAGGAAGGCUCUAGAAAAAUUCCAUGAGAAAACAAUAAUGAGAAUGUUCAAAUCAACACUCUGCCAUCUAGUCAGAGUGCAGAUCAACAAGAGGGAAGACAUGAGAGAUCUCAUUUGUUCUUAAAUUGAAUAUCAAUGCCACUUUCAAUCUGGUCAAGUAUCUUGGAUUUCCCAUUAUUAACUUCACAUGUGGGUAGUCUUGCGAGUAGGUACAAUUGUACAAUUUCAUAAUAGAGAAAGUGCAACCUAAAUUGGUUGGUGAAAGGCUAGUAGAGUCCUCUCCAUGGUUGGAGGGAGAAAUUAUUGGUUCCUCCAGGAGGACCAUUGAUGUGGUCCUCCGGCUCCUGCCAGCCAAUAGAAAAGUGCCACGUGGCCAUUUUUCUAAUUCAGCUCCACAUCAGCACUUACCCUUUACCUUAACUCUUGUUAACAAAAUCAAACCAAGGUUAAAACUCAGCUCCACACUUACCCACAGCCGGAAACCCAAAAUCAAAGACUUGUUCUACCUCAAGCUCUCACUUCUUCUUCCUUCUUCUUCUGAUAGUCGCUCUCAACUCACUCUUUCUUUUUCUUUUCUUUAUUCUCUUUGUGGAAAUUUUUUUUUGUUGUUGUUUAUUGUGAUUUCUGGGAUUCUGAUCCACCAUUGCCGGAAAACCAUGGGUUCUCCAGUGAGUCCUUCGUGACUCCACUCUCUCCAUGCAUGAUCCAAGUCACCAUCGUUGUCUCCAGAUUUCUCUCCUCUACCAUGGCUUUCUCGGAAGUAGUAUUGGCAUAUCAGAGGAGGAGGACUGUAUUUUGAUUUUGAUUUUGGGUUUCCAGUUGAGGUAAGGUAAUGGGUAAGUGCUGAUGUGGAGUUGAAUCAGGAAAAAUGGCCACGUGGCACUUUCUUAUUGGUUGGUAGGAGCUAGGAGGACCACUGAUGUGGUCCUCCCAAAGGAACCAAUAAUUUCUCGGUUGGAGGAGCC